UACGUAGGGUGCAAGCGUUGUCCGGAAUUCUUGGGCGUAAAGAGCUCGUAGGCGGUCUGUCGCGUCGGCUGUGAAAACCUGGGGCUUAACUCCGGGCUUGCAGCCGAUACGGGCAGACUAGAGUUCGGCAGGGGAGGCUGGAAUUCCUGGUGUAGCGGUGAAAUGCGUAGAUAUCGGGAGGAACACCUGUGGCGAAAGCGGCUCACUGGACCAUAACUGACGCUGAUGCACGAAAGCUGGGGGAGCAAACAGG
rnacentral:rRNA from 1 species